UAUCCAACCAGACCACACCGAAGUAAACCUAGUGUUUCUCUAGUUAGGCUGUGCUUAUCUGCUCCCCAAACGGCUUCCAUGGAUCUCAAACAGUUGCCUAGCGCAAUAAAUCUCGGCAAGCUGUGUUGUUGAAGCUGACUCUGUCACGGAGGAAGUAAAUGAGCACGAUUUAUAUUUACGAUUCAGAUCUUUUUUUUUUAAUGGAAGAAAAACUGGGACUAUUUCUAUUGUGCAUAAAAACUGCAGCGAUGUUACAAGUAGCUAUAAGAAAGAGGAAGAGACACCAGAGAUGCACAGAGAAGACCACUCGAGGACACAGCAGGAGGAUGGCCAUCUGCCAGCCAAGGAAAAGGGCCGAAGGAUAACCCAAUACUGCAGACACCUUGAUCUUAAACUUCCAGCCCCCAGAACUACAAUGGGAAGACGGACAGCCUACAGCCUGGAAGAUGGUUCUCACCAGAACCCAACCGUGCUGGUACUCUGACCUUAGACUUCUAGUUUCCAGAAAUACGGGCCCUAAAUGUGAAUCGAAACUGCAGAGAAGAUGGAAGGGGGAUUCAGAAGAGAUCUAAGAAAAUGGACUCCAGGGAUAGAGAGCACAGCUUUCCAGGAAGAGUUAAAACAACUGCCAUUAUUUUGGCCUAAAGUUUUCCUAUAUUUUUUGUUAUUCAACCACUUUAAGAAUAAAGAAUGAGGCUCUUGGACUUCCCUGGUGGCGCAGUGGUUAAGAAUCCUCCUGCCAAUACAGGGACACGGGUUCAAUCCCUGGUCCAGGAAGAUCCCACAUGCCGCAGAGCAACUAAGCCCAUGCGCCACAACUACUGAGCCUGCAUGCCACAACUACUGAAGCCCGUGCACCUAGAGCCCGUGCUCCGCAACAAGAGAAGCCACCGCAAUGAGAAGCCUGCACACCUCAACGAAGAGUAGCCCCCACUCGCCACAACUAGAGAAAGCUCGUGUGCAGCAACGAAGACCCAAU